rnacentral:rRNA from 1 species
CCUACGGGAGGCAGCAGUAGGGAAUCUUUCACAAUGGGCGAAAGCCUGAUGGAGCAACGCCGCGUGCAGGAUGAAGGCCUUCGGGUUGUAAACUGCUUUUAUAAGCGAGAAAUAUGAUGGUAACUUAUGAAUAAGGAUCGGCUAACUACGUGCCAGCAGCCGCGGUCAUACGUAGGAUCCGAGCAUUAUCCGGAGUGACUGGGUGUAAAGAGUUGCGUAGGGGGCAUAAUAAGUAGCUAGUGAAAUCUGGUGGCUCAACCAUUCAGACUAUUAGCUAAACUGUUAAGCUCGAGACCGUUAGGGGUAACUGGAAUUUCUAGUGUAGGGGUGAAAUGCGUAGAUAUUAGAAGGAACACCAAUGGCGUAGGCAGGUUACUGGGACGGUGCUGACACUGAGGCACGAAAGCGUAGGGAGCAAACGGGAUUAGAUACCCGGGUAGUC